CAGAACUUGUCUGUCAAGGAGCUCCCACUCAUCCUGAUCCAUCUUCUCAGGCUUCUUGCUCAGCGGUUGAUGAAGCUUCUUUCCGUACAGAUAAUCUUCAAUUUGCAUUCUCCAAAAUGCAUAAUCUGUACCGUCAAAUUUCCCGAUACUAUGCGCCAAACCGUCUUCGCCUCCCAUCGUUUCUGGAACCACCGUGUAUUAGAACACCUUCGUCGACAAACCGAUGUUACUGACAAAAUUCACUAUUCACGAAGUACUGUUCACGUGAAUAGUAACCCCGCAAAAAAUUUGACCGAUCACCGUAACUCAGGCUCUGAUACCAGUUGUUAGGAAAUACGCGGUCAAAUUUUGCGGUAAACCAGAAUUUGUGGGAGCGGAAAAAAGAGCACACACACAAAAUUGUUAACGAAGUUCGGCCAAUGUUGCCUAAUGCCAUCACUUCGGUUAUUUCUAUCUGGGUUUCUCCCUCUGUUUUCCACGUUGAAAGCAGAGCUCGUUGAUGCCUC
rnacentral:lncRNA from 1 species